UAAGCAUAUCAAUAAGCGGAGGAAAAGAAACUAACAAGGAUUCCCCUAGUAACUGCGAGUGAAGCGGGAAAAGCUCAAAUUUAAAAUCUGGCGGCUUUUGGCUGUCCGAGUUGUAGUCUGGAGAAGUGCUUUCCGCGCUGGACCGUGUACAAGUCUCUUGGAACAGAGCGUCAUAGAGGGUGAGAAUCCCGUCUUUGACACGGACUACCAGUGCUUUGUGAUGCGCUCUCAAAGAGUCGAGUUGUUUGGGAAUGCAGCUCAAAAUGGGUGGUAAAUUCCAUCUAAAGCUAAAUAUUGGCGAGAGACCGAUAGCGAACAAGUACCGUGAGGGAAAGAUGAAAAGCACUUUGGAAAGAGAGUUAAACAGUACGUGAAAUUGCUGAAAGGGAAACGCUUGAAGUCAGUCGCGUUGACCAGAACUCAGCCUUGCUUUUGCUUGGUGCACUUUCUGGUUGACGGGCCAGCAUCAAUUUUGAUUGUUGGAUAAAGGCUGGGGGAAAUGUGGCACCUUCGGGUGUGUUAUAGCCCUCGGUCACAUACAACAGUUGGGAUUGAGGAUCUCAGCACGCCUUUAUGGUCGGGGUUCGCCCACGUUCGUGCUUAGGAUGCUGGCAUAAUGGCUUUAAACGACCCGUCUUGAAACACGGACCAAGGAGUCUAACAUGCCUGCGAGUGUUUGGGUGGAAAACCCGAGCGCGUAAUGAAAGUGAAAGUUGAGAUCCCUGUCAUGGGGAGCAUCGACGCCCGGACCUGACCUUCUGUGACGGCUCCGCGGUAGAGCAUGUAUGUUGGGACCCGAAAGAUGGUGAACUAUGCCUGAAUAGGGUGAAGCCAGAGGAAACUCUGGUGGAGGCUCGUAGCGAUUCUGACGUGCAAAUCGAUCGUCAAAUUUGGGUAUAGGGGCGAAAGACUAAUCGAACCAUCUAGUAGCUGGU
rnacentral:rRNA from 1 species